AGAGGCGCGAGGACUUGCCGGCGGUCAGGAUCGCGUCCAGCACCGCCAGGGCGGGCGCGUCCUUGUCCGCGGCGGCGGGCGCCAGCCAGGUGAUGGCCAGGGCCGGCAGCGGCACAUUGGGGCCGUAGGUGUUGACGGUCUUGGGGCCGGUGCGGGCGGGCUCGACGGCGGUGACCUUCGGGAUGGCGCCGGCGGGCGUGGUCAGGGACCCGAAGUACUUGUCGAUCAUCGCGUCUAGCUUGGUCUGGUCGAAAUUGCCGACGAUGAUCAGGGCGGCGUUGUCCGGGCGAUAAUAGGUGCGGUGGAAGGCGCGCACGUCGUCGACGGUGGCCGCGUCCAGCUCCUCGAUCGAGCCGAUGCCCGGGCGCUGGUAGGGGUGGACGGCGAACGACUGCUGCGGGAUCGACAGGGCGAAGAAGCGGCCAUAGGGGUCGGCCAGGACCCGCUGGCGCAGUUCUUCCUU
rnacentral:sRNA from 1 species